CCUGCAAGAAGACCAAAGCAGACAGCGUUGCUGUGAUGCAGAACUCCAACCUGUGGAUACACUUAGCACUGUAUAGCCUUGACCUGUGCAGCAGUUCCCCUCCUGUGAAAAACAAGCCUGCCAAUUCCACAGCACAAAGCGUGUGGGCUGGGCCUCCCUCAGGACCCAAGAGCAAAGUGCAGGGCUUUGUGCAGUGACAGCAAACCUCAGCCUGUGAGGGCUGGCCCACGGCAUUGCUAGCUGCUGGCUUCAGCAGGGGUCACAUUGCUUUCUCCUGGCUGUAGCCCCACUGUCCAGGCAGGAUCAGAGAAUGGACAGGCUAUGUAACACUGAAAAGGCCACUCCCUGGGCCACAAGGCAUACACCCAGGGCAGGAGAUGCUCAUUUGUGAAUUCAGGCCAUCUGUCACUGGUGAAUGGAAAGAGAAGCUGGGAGGAGAAGUUCCCAAACUCAGUUCUAGCCAUCAGUGAUGAAAGCAGUUGGAGGCAAGUUGCCCAGCUCCUCUGCUCAUUGGUUUCUCUGCCAUAAACAAGGUUAACUGCCUCUUGGGUGUAUCUAGAUGCCAUUAGCUGCUAGCACAUUUAUCUACUGUCUGCAUAUUCACACCACUGGCAGAACAUACCAAUUUAAGCAACGUACACGAUAAAUAUACACACUACUGACAGAGCAUAUACACUACAUCAGUUUAAACACUGAGCUCAGCUUUUAGUGGAAGAGAAAAUCUCUGUGAGGCACCAUGAAGAACCAUAUUCUUUACUUCCAACAAUUAAAAAGAAUGGGGACACCAGAAAUGAUCAACAGAAGAUUAAAGAAAGACAGGGCAAGAAAAAGGAUAAAAUAUGGGUUUAGAAAGGGCUCCUGUAAACAGGAGGAAAGAAAAAAUAAAAUCCUUCUUUCUUUGCAAGGAAAAGUCUAUAAAAAAAUACAAAACAGAGGUAGGUGCUGCUGAAAAGGAAUUUUAAAAACAGAUUUCAGCUCACAGAAAAGCAGCAGCAUGGAUACAUGGAUACAGAUACAUAGCUGUGCAUCUGCACUCAAGUACUUUGUGACAUGCCAGCUUUCAGAACCCCCCUGCCAGGCAGGGUCAGAGCCCAGCAGCGCUGGUGAGACAGGACACCACAUCCCAGCACCACUCAGACUUCUGUGUGCACUUGUGGGCAUGGGAAAGCAGAGGAAGACGGGCACACAGCAUAUUAUAGAGUUACAGAUACACCCACCUAUGAAGCACGUAGCCAGGCCAACCUACCAGCAGGAAAACCACCAGCAGAGUUCUAGUUUCCCCAGGUGAGAUGCAUUUUUUCAUGCCCACCCUAGACACAGGUUUCUCACUCCAGUAAAGCAAUUUAAAGCUCAGUAAAGCAAAUGUAAAGCACAGAGCAUUGCUUUUUAAAGAAGCCAGAAAAGAAUUAACAGAUAAACAUAAAAGAUGCUAAAACAAGAAAAUUUAGCUUGUUACUCAUACAGUGAUAUCAUUGUUUUGGUUUUUACCAUGCACAGCCUCAGCACCACAAAAAAUGCACAUAAAAUAGUUCAAGCUGGUCAUUCAAAGUAUAUUCUCCAGCUUGACAAUACUGGUGGCAAUACACUGCUCAAGUAUCAGUACAGAAACCCAGCUGGUUUGGUUUUUAUUCUUGUUUGCACUAAAUAAUGAUGCUGAGAAACGGGACAUAUUAGUUUUCUUUAACCGAGCUUUGGAAAUGCAAGGAUUGAUUUCCCUAAAGCAUAUUAUGCUUCUGAAUACAACAAGUGCACUUCUAUAAAUCACAUUCCCCAGCCUAUGUGAACCAUAAGGCUCCUAAACCACUCAUCGGCCUGAUGUUCUCCCACUCAGGAUUUAUUCCCCCUAAGUAACUUUCCAAAGUAACAAUUCCUUCAGACAGAAGAGUCACUUCAGUUCAGCUUUUGGACCAAAAAGAGUUUUUCCAGUUCACAAAAGCAGCAAACAUUUCUGCCUUUGAAGGGUUGUUUCUAAUUGUUUGAAGGCUGUUUCUAAUUGUUUAAGUUUCCUUCUUUUCCAGAAAGGAGACUUUCUAAACUUCCACAACACUUAAAAUACAAAGAACAAAUAUGUACCUUCCUCAUUUGUUCAUUCAGCAUAACAAAGAGUUUCUCAGCAUCUGCAACUGGGCAAUAUCAUUUUAUACAACUUUCAGAUCGGAAUGCAUUCACUUCGUACAGCUAUUUUAUAAAGUGUAUAUAUCAUUGAAAAAGCUUGUAAAAAACUAAUAGUUCGCUUUGCACACAGUGAGUCUUCUGUGUUGCCUGUUUCACCCAUUCCCUUACGACCUGGGCAAAAUGCAGGAGCCUGCCCUUAUGGACAGCAGACACCACUCAGAACCGCCUCCCUUUAAGUGCAAUCAAAAUCAAGAAAAUUGGAAAGGCUGCUGCUAAGAAAAAGCAGUCAGCAAUGGGAUAUCAGGUUUUUGAGGCACUUGAGAGCAAGGCCUCAAGAAAAUGUUUUUCUUGAGUGAGACAAAUGUAGAGAUUUAUCAAAUACACACACAAACCUGAAGCUGCAAUUACAGUUCAAUUGGUUUGAUGAAGAAGCAGACAGAGCAACAGCCACGAGGAAGGCAGGAGAAAACAAUAGCUGGUAGUUUUCAUAGGCUUGGUUCUCUACAGAGAGAAAACUGCCAUCUGCAGAGGGCAGCACACAGGGAAUGCACUAAAGACAAAUUCCUCUGUUAUAGCUUAGAAGCCAGGCACUACACGCACACACAAUGGAAGGAUCCAGCAGGUGCAGCAAACAAACAAACUAUACGUUGAAUGGCUAGAACAAUAAAAACAGCAAAAUCACAAGUCAAAGUCAACACAGAGCGCUUUGAGAACGGGCUAAUCCCAAAAGCCACAGAGCUCAAAACUCUCCAGCUAGCAUCUUGUACAGCAAGCCUACCCGAAUUCGAUUGGAUCCCAACUCUAACAUCUGUAACAGCUGCAAGUUGCUCAAAUUCUCAAUUUUGCUGAUUUUGUUGUUGACGAGGAAGAGUUUUUUAAGUUGGGUAAGCUGAUCUAGUCCUUCAAUGUGUCGCAGAA